GAAAUGCGAUAAGUAAUGUGAAUUGCAGAAUUCAGUGAAUCAUCGUAUCUUUGAACGCACCUUGCGCUCCUUGGUAUUCCUUGGAGCAUGCCUGUUUGAGUAUCAUGAAAUCUUCAAAGUAAAUCUUUUGUUAACUCAAUUGGUUUCUACUUUGGUAUUGGAGGUCUUUGCAGCUUCACACCUGCUCCUCUUUGUUCAUUAGCUGGAUCUCAGUGUUAUGCUUGGUUCCACUCGGCGUGAUAAGUUAUCUAUCGCUGAGGACACUGUAAAAGGUGGCCAAGGUAAAUGCAGAUGAACCGCUUCUAAUAGUCCAUUGACUUGGACAAUACUUUUAUGAUCUGAUCUCAAAUCAGGUAGGACCACCCGCUGAACUUAAGC
rnacentral:misc_RNA from 1 species